UACGAUGGGGGCUAGCGUUGUUCGGAAUUACUGGGCGUAAAGGGCGCGUAGGCGGUGUGUCAAGUCAGGCGUGAAAGCCCCGGGCUCAACCUGGGAACCGCGCUUGAGACUGGCACGCUAGAGUUCGGGAGAGGAUGGUGGAAUUCCCAGUGUAGAGGUGAAAUUCGUAGAUAUUGGGAAGAACACCGAUGGCGAAGGCAGCCAUCUGGACCGACACUGACGCUGAGGCGCGAAAGCGUGGGGAGCAAACAGG
rnacentral:rRNA from 1 species